UAAUACGGAGGGUGCGAGCGUUAAUCGGAAUGACUGGGCGUAAAGGGUGCGUAGGUGGUUAAAUAAGUUAUAGGUGAAAUCAUAGGGCUCAACCUUGUGUGGAAUUAUAAUACUGUUUAACUAGAGUAUAGGAGAGGGCAGUGGAAUUUCCGGUGUAGCGGUGAAAUGCGUAGAGAUCGGAAGGAACACCAGUUGCGAAGGCGGCUGCCUGGCCAUAUACUGACACUGAGUCACGAAAGCGUGGGUAGCAAACAGG
rnacentral:rRNA from 1 species